AAUUCUCAAACCUUGAUCAGUUUUGCGCUGACUUUCAAGGCUUUGGAUGUGGGAGUCUUUUGCUGGUACACUUUUGGAUCAGCUCUCCUUAAAUGCAUUAGCGGUUACUUGAUCCCCUUUCCCUGGUGUGAUAAUUAUCUACGCCUCUGAAACGAUCAGCAUUGUAUCAGCUUCUAACUGUCCAUUGACUUGGACAACUUUUAAUUGACC
rnacentral:misc_RNA from 1 species